GGGGGGGGGGGGGGGGGGCGGAAAAAACUUUAAUGGAAAAUAUAAUGGGAAAAAAAAAUAAGUGGAAGAGUCUGAAGAACAAUUUGUUUGGAGUAUACUUUUGUUGUCUAUUCUCUGGAUUUAAUAUUAUUGAUUGAAAAAAACAUUUUCCUUUUCAGGAGACAUCAGCUAUGUCCAGUUGUGCUAUACCAGUGGCUUUGAAAUGUCUAACAGUGAUUGACAACAAGAACUGGUAUACUUCAGUUAGAAAUGCCUACAAGUGAAGCAUUGCAUAGUGAAGGAAGGUUAGGGUUUAAGGCUCAAACUUCCUCUUGCGACCAAAUCAUCUGACGAAGGAUGAGAAAGCUGUACUUGAUUUAAAUGGGACAAAUUCGCUCUCUACCAAAUCAUAUUGCAAAGAAGUCGGUUGUAAUCUUUGCUGGGGAUUCAAUCGAGGGUCAGAGAUUAAAUCUUGAAGGAGAAGAGCUUACGGCAGGAACCCCUUAAGCUUACCGUCCUCAAAUUUGAUGUCUCUUCUUUCGAUAUUGAAGUGUGUAGAAAUGGGAGCUUGGAAACUCACAAAAGGGUGGUGCAGCUCUUCAGAAUUCCCUGAAGGACCGGAGUGGAACCGGGUUCCUAAUUCUGCACAUCAAAGGAAAACUUCUAAGCUUGCAGGUGGUAUGACACCUUUUUAGAAAUACGUCCAUGCAUAUUGCUGGUGAACUCAUAGUGUGAGAUGAUUUACCACACAGUAAACUUGGCGCCAAUAGUUGCACAAAGCUUUCCACAUUUUGGCAAUAUUUAAUGUGGAGCAUGGAGGCUAUCAGGAAUUUCUGAUGUAAGGAUGACGAUGAAAAACAUUAGCAGACAAAAUCAAAUGAUGAAUUUCGUGUGAUGUCUCAUGUCAUGUUUUUUUAUGGCAUUUAAUCAUUUGGCUUUGAAGUUGUACUAUUAAAAAAAAGUUUUGUUCUUUCAAGAAAUUUCUAUGUAGCAUAAAUAGUCAGCAACUAUGUAUACUCCGUAUGUAC